UUUGUCCAUGUGUUAAAUCGUGAUUUACUGAAAGGAUAAGCAUCUUCUUCCAAGAAAAAAAUUCAAGCAAUAUCCUCAUUGAAAAUGAAUUUGUGUUAAUUAAUAACCAAUCUUUCCGUCGGUUAAAUUUAUCAUUUCGUGUAAAAAAUUAUCUUUAUCACAUUAAAAAAAUAAAAAGGAAAAGAUAGAAGAAAAGAAGACAAAAGGGUGAGUGUUUGUUUGUAAGGAGAAAAGAAACGAAGAGAAAGUUGAAAAUGGCACUUCACCGGCCUCCCCAAAUCCAAAAAGCGUAAUGCCUGCCAAAACAUAAAAACUACCUCCCCCCAACCAAUAAAAUUUGCCAUUAUAGACCAACAAGAACCCACCCUUCUCUUUCCCUCUCCACACCUCUCUCUCUCUCUCUCUCCCUCUCAAAACCCCAUAACAAAAGCAAGACCAACAACCCAGAAUAGCUUUUAUAAAAGACUGAGAGAGGGGGAGAGAGAGGUGUCUGUGCUUGGCUUUUACCCAUUUUCCUGUUCUGCAAUGGCGGUGGAAGACAGGUCCUUCCCUUUGUCUCCCACUCUGUGCAGUGACCCAGUUGCCCUUGAGUGAAAGGUUCUUGAAAUUCUAGAGGCGGAGGAGCAUACGGUUCGUCAUCGAUCAUGGGUAUUUGUCACCACACACUCAAAUGUCAAGAAGAAGACAGUGGGGGAAGCAUGUUGAUGACUAUGACUUUCAUGGUUGUUGGUCAUAAUGAUGUGAUGAUGAAGUUGUAUGUUAUAUUUCCCCAAAUUUUCCAUACACUGAGUUGAUUUUAUAUUUAAAAAAUAGCGGUAUAGUUCCUAACUUCUUCUA